rnacentral:lncRNA from 1 species
AUCCACUUUGACUAACUGCUGGUAAUUGCCCAGGUACACACAGUUAGCCCCCCACAGUUGUGAGAUGAUGUGAUGUUGCUUAAGCUUCUUAGAGAGAUGUUUAAGUGGUUCUUGUUACCCCAUGUUGGGGGUGGUGUGAAAGCAUGCCCAUGGACAGCUGAUGUGUUAACCUGACAGGCUGAAUCUUGUUUUUCCAUUUAUUUUCAGGUUUGUUGAGAGACUUAAAUGGGAACAACUGCUAGACUACAUUGUGUUAACCUCCCAAUGAUGCCUACAUACAUUUCUUCCUAUAGAAAAUAGGGUUUAUGGGGAAAAGAGAUUAAAAAAAUCUUGUACAUUAAUUUUCCUUGCAAACUGAAAGCCAGAAAGUGGCAAAAACAUCCUCUGUGCCUUGAUAUGCCACAGAUCAAGACAAGACAUGCCAGGAACAGAAAGACUUAAAGAACAACAGACUUUACAUGAAGCAAAGUCCUCAUAUGCUACGCGUUACACGGCCCGAAUGACUUCCAGGAGUGAAGUGAUGGGAUUGUUAUUUGCUGCACGUGAUUUUCUCUCUCCCCUUCUUUCCAAAGGGUCAGUGAGGAGAAUAGAAGACUCAGGUUACAGUGCUCCCAGGAGGACCUCACAGUGGGAGAACGUUAAAUAUUGUGGAUUAAUGGUGGAGUGUCAACAGAAGAUUUGGGCCUUUGCUGCCAGAAGGCUGCAUGCAUGGUGUUGCCAUCACAUCUGCUGAAUGUGCUGGAGCUUUCCUAUCAAGGUUUUAGUUUUCUGCCACUGAUUUUAUUUUUAAAUUUUUUGAGACAUUAGAAGAUCUUGAGCCACUACUGUGUAUCAGCAGCUGAAAGGAUUUGUGAGGAUGAAUGUAACUAUUUGCUCCAAAAAACCUACAUAGCUCUUUUCACUCCUUUUGUCAAGUAUCCAUGAACACAUUUAAGUUUUAGAGAGCCCUGGAGUAGUUCUUACUGCAGUAUUUGACCAAUGCAUUGUACGGACUGCUCUCCCUUUGUAAGUGAUGAGAGCUUUUCUGUGCAGGCAGCCCAACCACUGAAAGGUCAACAGUCUGAUGCUGGCUUAAAAGCCACGAGAUUGGUAAAUUAGAGGACAGCAUUUUAAAGUUAAAUUUCCUAACUUGUUUUCUGAUCCGCUAUGCUUGUCAUUAUCAACUACAUUUUCCUCUUUUGGUCUUCUCUCUUUCCCCUCCCAUUCUCUUAUAUCUGUUGUCAACCAACUUUGACUAUAAUGGUAAAAUUGCUUUUUG